rnacentral:rRNA from 1 species
GAUGAACCUCCUUCGGGAGGGGAUUAGUGGGCGAACGGGUGAGUAACACGUGGGCAAUCUGCCCUGCACUCUGGGACAAGCCCUGGAAACGGGGUCUAAUACCGGAUACUGAUCUCCUUGGGCAUCCUUGGUGAUCGAAAGCUCCGGCGGUGCAGGAUGAGCCCGCGGCCUAUCAGUUGGUUGGUGAGGUAACGGCUCACCAAGGACGACGGGUACCCGGCCUGAGAGGGCGACCGGCCACACUGGACUGAAACACACGGCCCAACUCCUACGGGAGGCAGCAGUGGGGAAUAUUGCACAUGGGCGCCAAGCCUGAUGCAGCGACGCCGCGUGAGGGAUGACGGCCUUCGGGUUGUAAACCUCUUUCAGCAGGGAAGAAGCGCAAGUGACGGUACCUGCAGAAGAAGCGCCGGCUAACUACGUGCCAGCAGCCGCGGUAAUACGUAGGGCGCGAGCGUUGUCCGGAAUUAUUGGGCGUAAAGAGCUCGUAGGCGGCUUGUCGCGUCGGUUGUGAAAGCCCGGGGCUUAACCCCGGGUCUGCAGUCGAUACGGGCAGGCUAGAGUUCGGUAGGGGAGAUCGGAAUUCCUGGUGUAGCGGUGAAAUGCGCAGAUAUCAGGAGGAACACCGGUGGCGAAGGCGGAUCUCUGGGCCGACACUGACGCUGAGGAGCGAAAGCGUGGGGAGCGAACAGGAUUAGAUACCCUGGUAGUCCACGCCGUAAACGGUGGGCACUAGGUGUGGGCAACAUUCCACGUUGUCCGUGCCGCAGCUAACGCAUUAAGUGCCCCGCCUGGGGAGUACGGCCGCAAGGCUAAAACUCAAAGGAAUUGACGGGGGCCCGCACAAGCGGCGGAGCAUGUGGCUUAAUUCGACGCAACGCGAAGAACCUUACCAAGGCUUGACAUACACCGGAAAACCCUGGAGACAGGGUCCCCCUUGUGGCCGGUGUACAGGUGGUGCAUGGCUGUCGUCAGCUCGUGUCGUGAGAUGUUGGGUUAAGUCCCGCAACGAGCGCAACCCUUGUCCCGUGUUGCCAGCAGGCCCUUGUGGUGCUGGGGACUCACGGGAGACCGCCGGGGUCAACUCGGAGGAAGGUGGGGACGACGUCAAGUCAUCAUGCCCCUUAUGUCUUGGGCUGCACACGUGCUACAAUGGCCGGUACAAUGAGCUGCGAUACCGCGAGGUGGAGCGAAUCUCAAAAAGCCGGUCUCAGUUCGGAUUGGGGUCUGCAACUCGACCCCAUGAAGUCGGAGUCGCUAGUAAUCGCAGAUCAGCAUUGCUGCGGUGAAUACGUUCCCGGGCCUUGUACACACCGCCCGUCACGUCACGAAAGUCGGUAACACCCGAAGCCGGUGGCCCAACCCCCUUGUGGGGAGGGAGCCGUCGAAGGUGGG